UAUGUCACGUUCCUGUAGCCCAGAUCCAGA
rnacentral:piRNA from 1 species